rnacentral:rRNA from 1 species
AUUGAACGCUGGCGGCAGGCCUAACACAUGCAAGUCGAGCGGAACGGCGGACGGGUGAGUAAUGCAUAGGAAUCUGAAUGGUAGUGGGGGAUAACGACCGGAAACGGGCACUAAUCCCGAAUACUAUCAGCAGAGCCUAGGUCGGAUUAGCUAGUCGGUGGGGUAAAGGCCUACCAGGGCGACGAUCGGUACCUGGUCUGAGAGGAUGAUCAGCCACACUGGCACUGAGACACGGUCCAGACUCCUACGGUAGGCAGCAGUGGGGAAUAUUGGACAAUGGGGGAAAGCCUGAUGCAGCCAUGCCGCGUGUGUGAAGAAGGCCUUCGGAUUGUAAAGCACUUUAAGUUGGGAGGCGUUACCAACAGAGUAAGCACCGGCUAACUUCGUGCCAGCAGCCGCGGUAAUUC